CAGAUCAAGCAUGUAUCAAGGAUGCUCUGCCCCUUGUUACCUUGGAUCACCUCUGUGUGAGGUUUAGCCAACCACAAAGCUGACUCAGGACCCCUUCGCAGUACAAAAGUUGCUUGACAAUGCAGCCCGAAAUGUGUAUUCAACUCUAGUCUAAAUACCGAAACAAGGCAUAUAGUCAAAAAGUACCAUAAGGGAAAGUUGAAAAGAACUUCAAAUAGAGAGCUCAAGAGAGCACAAAACUAUUAAGAGGUACACAAGUGGGUUCAAGUACAGUCCAGCCAUCGGAUUCUACUUAGUGAGUCAUACCAGCAAGCCCAAGUGGGUGUUCUCUGGAAUCAUGUAACAGAGAUGUGUGGUUUAUGUUAUCACAAUAUUGAUUAUAUUUAAUUCAAGACUUUCCUGGAGGUUUCACAUAGAUGGAGAAAAGUGGAGAAGGCAAAAUAAUCUGCAUUGUGAGCUUGUAUAUUCAUAUUCAAAUAGGG
rnacentral:ncRNA from 1 species